rnacentral:rRNA from 1 species
AAGUCGAGCGCACCUUCGGGUGAGCGGCGGACGGGUGAGUAACGCGUGGGAACGUGCCCUUUGGUACGGGAUAACUGAGGGAAACUUCAGCUAAUACCGUAUGUGCCCUACGGGGGAAAGAUUUAUCGCCAUUGGAGCGGCCCGCGUUGGAUUAGGUAGUUGGUGAGGUAAAGGCUCACCAAGCCUACGAUCCAUAGCUGGUCUGAGAGGAUGAUCAGCCACACUGGGACUGAGACACGGCCCAGACUCCUACGGGAGGCAGCAGUAGGGAAUCUUGCGCAAUGGGCGAAAGCCUGACGCAGCCAUGCCGCGUGAAUGAUGAAGGUCUUAGGAUUGUAAAAUUCUUUCACCGGGGAAGAUAAUGACGGUACCCGGAGAAGAAGCCCCGGCUAACUUCGUGCCAGCAGCCGCGGUAAUACGAAGGGGGCUAGCGUUGCUCGGAAUUACUGGGCGUAAAGGGCGCGUAGGCGGACAGUUUAGUCAGAGGUGAAAGCCCAGGGCUCAACCUUGGAAUUGCCUUUGAUACUGGCUGUCUUGAGUUCGGGAGAGGUGAGUGGAAUGCCGAGUGUAGAGGUGAAAUUCG